rnacentral:rRNA from 1 species
UACAGAGACUGCAAGCGUUAUUCGGAUUCACUGGGCGUAAAGGGUGCGCAGGCGGCCUUGUGUGUGAAGUGUGAAAGCCUGGGGCUUAACUCCAGAAUUGCACCUCAAACUAUAAGGCUAGAGCAUUGGAGAGGGUAGCGGAAUUCACGGUGUAGCAGUGAAAUGCGUAGAUAUCGUGAGGAACACCAGAGGCGAAGGCGGCUACCUGGACAAUUGCUGACGCUCAGGCACGAAAGCGUGGGGAGCAAAAGGG